AUCGCUUCUCGGCCUUUUGGCUAAGAUCAAGUAUAGUAUCUGCUCUUAUCAGUUUAAUAUCUGAUACAUCCUCUCUCCAAAGUCCAGAUGGAGCCCUCAAUCCACCAACUGACAAGGCUGUAUCCUGGGCUAUAUUUAUAUAUUGUAUAAUGCAAUUUAUAAAUUGUAAUGACAGGGCUUGAGCCUUU